UGCAGGCGUAGGCUCAAUCAGUUUGUAAUCAGACAAAUAAUCUUCAUGCAGCAUCUCUAAGUGUUUGCAAACAGACAGAGAGAAAAGGAAGACUUUUGCUCAUGGCUCUGUAGGGUUAUAAGGGAGUUCGUCAUACCUUGGUGCUACGACGGAUUUCCCAGCGAAGCUUCCACCACAAUGCAUAGCUAUCCACAGAGUCCAAGGCUUGCAUAAUGUUUUUGUUCAUCAAUAAAUCAUUUAAACCUA